rnacentral:rRNA from 1 species
UACAGAGGAGCCAAGCGUUGUCCGGAUUGACUGGGCGUAAAGCGCACGCAGGCGGCACCGCGCGUGGGGUGUGAAAUCUGGCCGCUUAACGGCCAGGCGCCAUCCCAUACGGCGGAGCUGGAGUGAUGCAGAGGUCGAUGGAAUUGCCGGUGUAGUGGUGAAAUGCGUAGAGAUCGGCAGGAACACCCAGGGGGGAAACCAGUCGACUGGGCAUCUACUGACGCUGAGGUGCGAGAGCGUGGGGGAGCGAACCGGG